rnacentral:rRNA from 1 species
GACGAACGCUGGCGGCGUGCCUAAUACAUGCAAGUCGAACGCAGUGGGGCCGGGUGAGUAACACGUGGGUAACCUCCCAUCAGAGGGGAUAACACCUGGAAACAGGUGCUCAACCGUUAUUGAUGGAUGGACCCGCGGUGCAUUAGCUAGUUGGUGAGGUAACGGCUUACCAAGGCCACGAUGCAUACCCGACCUGAGAGGGUGCUCGGCCACACGGGGACUGAGACACGGCCCAGACUCCUACGGGAGGCAGGAGUAGGGAAUCUUCGGCAAUGGACGAAAGUCUGACCGAGCAACGCAGCGUGAGUGAAGAAGGUUUUCGGAUCGUAAAACUCUGUUGUUAGAGAAGCGGUAUCUAACCAGAAAGCCACGGCUAACUACGUGCCAGCAGCCGCGGUAAUUC